rnacentral:rRNA from 1 species
AACGAACGCUGGCGGCAGGCCUAACACAUGCAAGUCGGGCGCCCCGCAAGGGGAGCGGCGGACGGGUGAGUAACGCGUGGGAACGUGCCCUUUGCUACGGAAUAGCCCCGGGAAACUGGGAGUAAUACCGUAUAAGCCCUACGGGGGAAAGAUUUAUCGGCAAAGGAUCGGCCCGCGUUGGAUUAGGUAGCUGGUGGGGUAAUGGCCUACCAAGCCGACGAUCCAUAGCUGGUUUGAGAGGAUGAUCAGCCACACUGGGACUGAGACACGGCCCAGACUCCUACGGGAGGCAGCAGUGGGGAAUCUUAGACAAUGGGCGCAAGCCUGAUCUAGCCAUGCCGCGUGAGCGAUGAAGGCCUUAGGGUUGUAAAGCUCUUUCGUGGGGGAAGAUAAUGACUGUACCCCAAGAAGAAGCCCCGGCUAACUCCGUGCCAGCCGCCGCCGUAA